AACGAACGCUGGCGGCAGGCCUAACACAUGCAAGUCGAACGGGACCUUCGGGUCUAGUGGCGGACGGGUGAGUAACGCGUGGGAACGUGCCCUUUGGUUCGGAAUAGCCCCGGGAAACUGGGAGUAAUACCGGAUAAGCCCUACGGGGGAAAGAUUUAUCGCCAAAGGAGCGGCCCGCGUUGGAUUAGGUAGUUGGUGGGGUAAUGGCCUACCAAGCCGACGAUCCAUAGCUGGUUUGAGAGGAUGAUCAGCCACACUGGGACUGAGACACGGCCCAGACUCCUACGGGAGGCAGCAGUGGGGAAUCUUAGACAAUGGGGGAAACCCUGAUCUAGCCAUGCCGCGUGAUCGAUGAAGGCCUUAGGGUUGUAAAGAUCUUUCAGUGGGGAAGAUAAUGACUGUACCCACAGAAGAAGCCCCGGCUAACUCCGUGCCAGCCGCCGCCGUAACAC
rnacentral:rRNA from 1 species